AAUACCGAAUGAUAGAAUGUGGCGCAUGCCACGCUUUUGAAAGAUGGUUUCGGCUAUCGCUUACAGAUGGGCCCGCGGUGCAUUAGCUAGUUGGUAGGGUAAUGGCCUACCAAGGCAACGAUGCAUAGCCGACCUGAGAGGGUGAUCGGCCACACUGGGACUGAGACACGGCCCAGACUCCUACGGGAGGCAGCAGUAGGGAAUCUUCCGCAAUGGACGAAAGUCUGACGGAGCAACGCCGCGUGUAUGAAGAAGGUUUUCGGAUCGUAAAGUACUGUUGUUAGAGAAGAACAAGGAUAAGAGUAACUGCUUGUCCCUUGACGGUAUCUAACCAGAAAGCCACGGCUAACUACGUGCCAGCAGCCGCGGUAAUACGUAGGUGGCAAGCGUUGUCCGGAUUUAUUGGGCGUAAAGCGCGCGCAGGCGGUCUUUUAAGUCUGAUGUGAAAGCCCCCGGCUUAACCGGGGAGGGUCAUUGGAAACUGGAAGACUGGAGUGCAGAAGAGGAGAGUGGAAUUCCACGUGUAGCGGUGAAAUGCGUAGAUAUGUGGAGGAACACCAGUGGCGAAGGCGACUCUCUGGUCUGUAACUGACGCUGAGGCGCGAAAGCGUGGGGAGCAAACAGGAUU
rnacentral:rRNA from 1 species